GACGAACGCUGGCGGCGUGCUUAACACAUGCAAGUCGAACGGUGAAGCGCCUUCCUUUUUGGUGGGUGUGGAUGAGUGGCGAACGGGUGAGUAACACGUGAGUAACCUGCCCCCUUCUUCUGGAUAACCGCAUGAAAGUGUGGCUAAAACGGGAUAUUCUGGGUCUGUCGCAUGAUGGGUCUGGGAAAGAUAUUGUUUCGGUGGGGGAUGGGCUCGCGGCCUAUCAGCUUGUUGGUGGGGUGAUGGCCUACCAAGGCGGUGACGGGUAGCCGGCCUGAGAGGGUGGACGGUCACACUGGGACUGAGACACGGCCCAGACUCCUACGGGAGGCAGCAGUGGGGAAUAUUGCACAAUGGGCGCAAGCCUGAUGCAGCGACGCCGCGUGAGGGAUGGAGGCCUUCGGGUUGUGAACCUCUUUCGCCAGUGAAGCAGGCCUGCCUCGUUUGUGGGUGGGUUGACGGUAGCUGGAUAAGAAGCGCCGGCUAACUACGUG
rnacentral:rRNA from 1 species